UUCAUCAGCUCCCGGACCCCGGGUCCCCUUUGCGACGGGAAUGGCGAUGGUUAUGAUCCCACGAGUUCACUGUCGGGACUGAGGCAGGCUGGGAAUCCUGUCCCCACGUCCCGGAGCAGCGCAGUCAAUGCAGGCCGCUGCUGGUGUGGGGAGGACACAGGAAAGCUCGCUGUGCUGCAGGUGCGACAGGCGCGGGGUCAGUCGGCUCAGGGGCUGAAUCGAGACCUCCUUGGGUGCCCAGAGCUCCCGUUGGACAGGUGGGGAGGGAGCCCGCGAGUCACUCCUGCGGCACGCGCACGCCUCGGCAGAAGGGCACACAGAGCUGUCCCGUGCGCUGAGUCCGGACGCCGCCGGAGCCCGCGCGGAGGGGAGGAAGCGGACCGCGUCCGCCAGGACCAUCACCAUCCGGCCGUCCGGGAUCCUCACCGGCUGGUGGUUAAGAGACAGUGCGGUCGGUCAUGAGUCACCAGGCAAGAGGGUUUGACAGGGGGCAGCGUGGAUGACCACACCACAGCACGGCUGAACAGAACUCUGUGUGAGGCUGCACAGCCUCCCUGCACUGCGACUGAGGCUGCAGCCAUGACCAACACUCAGGGAGAGUUCCACAACCGCUCCGCGUGCAGCCUGCCAGUGUUCAGAAGCGAGGACGCCGUAUCCACACUCACAGAGCAAAAUACCUUGGAGAGCUGAUAUAACAUAACUAAGAGUGCUUGGGGACAUUUUGUUUCAUGUACUUCAAUAAAAUGAUGAUAUUGCUCUGAUUUCUUGUUCUGGUACAACUUGUGUCUUUUCAACUAUAGACAAAGGAAAUUAACAUGCUUUUGGAAAGAAAAAUUAUAUACUGAGCUCUCUUACUCAGUUUACAAGCCUGGAGCCUCUAGGGCUUAGCAGAAAGACGUUUACAGAGAUUGUAAUGUUCGGCUGUGGAUCAUCGAUUAACAAAUCCACUGAGUUUUCCACCUGCAUUACCAGAGGAUAAUAAAAAUACAUCACCUCUCCCCUAAUACACCCAGUGACCCGACAGACUCAUUUAUAAAUGCACCACAGAGGCCCCUGCUUUCCAAACACACAUAACUAUCACGUCACUGCAAACAGAAGUGUCCCAGGUUAUGAUGACCCGCAGAAAAGCCUUCUUAAAGAUGUCAAGGGAUUCUUCAGAUCUGAGAACUGAGAAUCCACUCGAGCUGUUCUGAGAUUCUUUCUCAUUAAGAGAAUUACUUCUGUUACAUGGAAUCACCACAUAUACUAUCUUAAAUCUACUGUACAAUAUAACCAUGCUCAUCUAUGGAAUUCCAGACAGGAAAACUUUCACCGGAAUGUGUGGAUUUAUUUACUGGGUUACUCAUUCUGUUAACCAACGUGUACAUGUUCAGACCCCCUUACUUUACCCAUGAUCUUUUACAGACUGAUCGAACCCAGGGUUCCACGUGAUAUACCACAUGAUUCCUUAAGCUCUGCUUCCUUCUUGAUGACCUGAAUAUUCGUCAAGAGUCAGAUCGUUGUAGACUGUGCCUAUCUCACGAAUGUCCUUAUGCCUCCGGCGUAAGUAGACUGCAGGUAUGGGUCCCACUCCGUGCUGCUCUGGCAGAACCAACAGGCAGUCCUGGUACCCGGCAGCCUGGCACUGUGGCCCAGCUUCCAUCGCCUGACCUGAGUGGUGCUAGUCAAGUCUCCCGGGUGCAGCUGCUCUUUGCUGCAGUACUCUUUAGAAAGAGGUCACCAAGUGCCAUCCCCUCCCCAAGCGGGGAGUUAAGCUCCACCUCCCUGGAGCAGGCAGCGACACAGAUGACUUUACAUUUCAUAGAUGAAGCGAUUUGAAGUCUGGUCCUGUCCAGUUCACAC
ensembl:lincRNA